UCCACAGAGAGAUGUUCCACUUUGCAUUAGCAGCUCAUGCUUCAGCGCUCUGCGAGUGUUUAUAGCCCUGUGACUUUAACACUUCAUGACUGAGAGCUGCUGCUCAGCGACUUCACCCACAGCAACCAUGAGUUUGAUCAGCGUCUUCAUCUGCACACUGGCCCUCUGCGCUCGAGGAUCCAGAGGUCAGGUGACUGUGACUCAGAGUCCUGCAGUGAAAUCUGUUUCUCCAGGAGACACACUCACCAUCAGCUGUAAAACCAGCUCUGCUGUUUACCGCUGGAGUAAUGGAAAUGAAGGAAUGUACUGGUAUCAGCAGAAAGCUGGAGAAGCUCCUAAACGCCUGAUCUAUGAUGCUAGCAGUAGAGCAUCAGGUAUUCCAGCUCGUUUCAGUGGCAGUGGAUCUGGAUCUGAUUUCACUCUGACCAUCAGUGGAGUCCAGGCUGAAGAUGCUGGAGAUUAUUACUGUCAGAGUGCACAUAAGAUCAGUAGUAGCCGUGUGUUCACACAGUGUUAGAGCGUCGUACAAAAACCUGGGUGAGUGUGACUGCUGCAGCUGAGACCUACUGCAGGUGCUGAGGGGGACGAUGUGAUACAGCACAAUGACACACACUGUGGAGGAGAACAAACACUCACACACAUACACAGAGUAUUUAUUAUUAAUAAUGGAGAUGAACAGAAAUCCAGAUAUAAAUGAUCAGAUUAUGUUUUAUUUAUCAUAUACUAUUCACAUGAUAUCACAUGUUUAUUUCACUUCACAUCUGCAGUUUCCGCCCAUAACAUGUUGAAAAGCACAUCCACCUCACCCUAAAAUUUCAUUAAAAUAAAACAAUCAAAUGUUUCUCUAUGAAACAAUGUAGUGCAAAUGUGACAAUUUUAAAAUUGUUUUAAUUCACUAGAUUUUCCUGUUUAUAUGCAUUCAGUGUUGUUCUAUAAUUGUUUAAACCAAUGUUUGAAAAAAAAAAAAGAAAAAAUACCUUAAAAAGGGUCUGUAAGGAGGUGAUGGUUUCACCUCCCCUGCACCCCCUCCUUUAACAACAAAGUGGUUCAGUCUAGGCAGCCAUUCUUUUAGCGGUCUUUUCCUCCUCUCUCCCAAAUGGAAGAGGUAUGCUGUGUCCCAUGCUGCAGAUUAAUAGUUAGCAUUGGUUGAAAAUAAUUCACACACAGAAAUACAUAAUUUUUAAGUUGUUUUUAUUUUUUUUGUUAUUUACAGAUGUAAGAUCAUAUAUACUUAACAUACGUGUUUCAUUGAUGUGGAUUGGUAUACUUUGGAAUGCUAUUUUUGUUGACAGUGUUACUGAUGUGUGAGCUGAAGCUGUCACGACGAUCUGUCUAUAUAAAAAUACAUUCUCUAUGCAGACCCAA